rnacentral:rRNA from 1 species
GACGAACGCUGGCGGCGUGCCUAAUACAUGCAAGUCGAACGCUUCUUUCCUCCCGAGUGCUUGCACUCAAUUGGAAAGAGGAGUGGCGGACGGGUGAGUAACACGUGGGUAACCUACCCAUCAGCGGGGGAUAACACUUGGAAACAGGUGCUAAUACCGCAUAACAGUUUAUGCCGCAUGGCAUAAGAGUGAAAGGCGCUUUCGGGUGUCGCUGAUGGAUGGACCCGCGGUGCAUUAGCUAGUUGGUGAGGUAACGGCUCACCAAGGCCACGAUGCAUAGCCGACCUGAGAGGGUGAUCGGCCACACUGGGACUGAGACACGGCCCAGACUCCUACGGGAGGCAGCAGUAGGGAAUCUUCGGCAAUGGACGAAAGUCUGACCGAGCAACGCCGCGUGAGUGAAGAAGGUGUUCGGAUCGUAAAACUCUGUUGUUAGAGAAGAACAAGGACGUUAGUAACUGAACGUCCCCUGACGGUAUCUAACCAGAAAGCCACGGCUAACUACGUG